rnacentral:lncRNA from 1 species
UAUUCUAACUUUGGGUUAAGGCAGUAUUAAUGGAUGACAUUAUUAUGACCACGUAAUAUAAUUCAUUGAAUACCCUCAAGUAAACUUCUAAGAAAACUACAGAUUUGGAGCUUCAAAUGCCUUGGUGAAGUUUCUAAGAACUUGGAUGUCUAAAAAGAACAGGGCAGGAAAUUAUCCAACUUGCAAGAGAAUGCUAGCUGAAAAUCGUCCCAUCUUAUGGAAAACCGGUAGAAAAUCCAGGAGGUGAAAUGGAGAACAUGUUCAACUGGAGAAUUCUAUUUCUUAUGCAUGUCAAAUAUGUUUCCUUCUCCUGCACUAGCUGUUCCUUCUGCUGGAAGAAUAUUUAUAUGACUGGCUAAACUUACUGUUCAGAUCUGAGAGUAAAUUUGCAUUUCUCAGAGAGUUAGUUCCUGACCACCCAACUCAAAGUACUAACACUCUAUCUAGUCCUUUUCUUGUUUGUUUUUCAUGUUUAUUUUAUUUCCCACCACUAGAAUCUAAGCUUUUUGAGAGCCGGCACUUUGUCCAUCUGGGUCACUGAAUCCCAAUGAGUUAUUCACAGAUGUUUUUAGUACAUAGUAGGUGAAAUGCAUAGAUAAUAUUUCAACUAAGAAAGUGAACAGAAGAAAGUUGGUCAUUGACUUAUUACUAGUAGCUCACUACUCUCUAUGUAUGAAGACAUCACUUACUGAUGGUUAUGAAGCAGAUGCUCAAUAAUUUUUUUUUAAUAAACAGGAGGGCAAGGAGCCAAUGUCGUUUGUAGUGGAGGGUAGUCAUGGACACUGAGAGUAUGUUUUAGACACAAUUUAUCAAUGGCCAGCCUCAGGCUGAGAUAAAAUAUAACAGAGUUUGCCAAGGUCUUUCAUGCCCAGGCAGUCAGUGCUCACAUGUUCCCUGUAACUGCCUGGGUACCUUUCCCUGAGUCAUCAGUCCUGUGUCUUAAUUCUUUUAGUAGCACCUGCAUUCUGCUCCUUUAACCUUCCAUCAAUCAGCUCUUAUAUACUGUACAUCUCUUUCUCAAGAAGCCUUGUGCAACGCAUGGUGAUUUCAACAGUGAUGAAUAUUUCCUUCCCUCUGACUUCUUAUGAAACCAGGAUAAUGAAGCAAAUUAGAAUGUAUUUUAACAUCACUCUCCCUUGUUUGCUGUCCAGCUAAUGAACAGUGGACUGGCUGAAGAAAGACCAGCAUGAAGCAGAAAAAUUGUUUGGUGAAAAAUUCAAGAAUGGGCCAAUAUCCAUUAAAAGAUUGAAAGAGGAGAUGUUUUGGGUCCACCUCCACUGGGGACAGAAAUUCCAUUCUGCCAACACCCCCUCCAUAUCCAUUGUCUGAAAGAGGCACUGCUGUUGAGUCAUAAGUAGGCUCCAGUGGCCCAUGUUGACCCUUUGAAAUUCCCAUGGGACUGUCAAUUCUAUCUAUUCUGGGAGCAGCCAACCAUAGCUAAUUACAGGCCUGUGGUAUUAGUGGAACAAGCUUCAGCUUUUUACAUUGGCUUGAUGGAGAACUGAGUAGAUAUAAAAGUGUUACAUGUUUUUCUGUAAUCAUAAUAACGUAAUCUUGUUUCAUAAUCAUUAAUAAUUCCUAACAUUUAUUGAAGAGUUAAUAUGUGUUGAGUAUUUUUGUAAGUGCUUAACAUGCAGUUUUUAAAAUUUUAACUCCUUUUUACAGAAAAGGUUUACAGAACGCCAGAGGGGUAGGUGAUUUUGCCAGAGCUCUUUUAGGUAAUAGGAAACAAAGCCAUAAAUUUGAUCCCAGCUAGUUUGACCCCAUAGUCCAAGCAUUAAUCCCUGAACCACACUAGCUCUGGCAAGGGUAUAAAUGAGCAGUGAUUACUAACUGACUUAAAACACAAUAGGAAUUAUCCCCAGUGAAUUCCAACAUAUAAAGGGACACUAAUUCUUGCCAUAGAAAAUCUAUUUGAUAAGUAUGAACAAGAAUUCCAAGGUUAUCAAAAAUAAUUUCUAAUAGUUUAAUUCUUUAAAAGAAAUGGUGUAUCUCAUGGACACAGGAAGGGGAACAUCACACUCCGGGGACUGUUGUUGGGUGGGGGGAGCGGGGAGGGAGAGCAUUAGGAGAUAUACCUAAUGCUAAAUGACAAGUUAAUGGGUGCAGCACACCAACGUGGCACAUGUAUACAUAUGUAACAAACCUGCACA